GCGCAAUUAGCUCAGCUGGAUAGAGCGUUGGCCUCCGGAGCCAAAGGUCACAAGUUCGAAUCUUGUAUUGCGCGCCA
rnacentral:tRNA from 1 species